ensembl:rRNA 5S_rRNA 5S ribosomal RNA
UUUAAUGGCCAUACCGCCCUGAAAGGCGCUCGAUCUCUUUUGAUCGUAGAAGCUAAACAGGGUCGGGCCGGGUUAGUACUGGCCGGGCGGGGUGGCUCAUGUCUAUAAUCCUAGCACUUUGGGAGGCUGAGGU